rnacentral:rRNA from 1 species
UGCCAGCCGCCACGGUAAUUCGUAGGGUGCAAGCGUUAAUCGGAAUUACUGGGCGUAAAGCGUGCGCAGGCGGUUUGCUAAGACAGGUGUGAAAUCCCCGGGCUCAACCCGGGAACUGCAUCUGUGACUAGCAGACUAGAGUUUGGCAGAGGGGGGUGGAAUUCCUGGUGUAGCAGUGAAAUGCGUAGAUAUUAGGAGGAACACCGAUGGCGAAGGCAGCCCCCUGGGCCACCACUGACGCUCAUGCACGAAAGCGUGGGGAGCAAACAGGAUUAGAUA